ensembl:rRNA 5S_rRNA 5S ribosomal RNA
GUCUAUGGUUAUACCACCCUGAACACACCUAAUCUUGGAAGCUAAGCAGGGUGAAGCCUGCUUAGUAGUUGGAUGGGAGAAAUGGUAACAAGUUAUGAUUCACA